AAGAGGGCAACAGAUGGUUUUGUGAAACAUCAGGCUCCUUAUUUUGAAGAGAAUGGCUGCAAGGAAAAGGAAGGUUCUCUUUAGCUGUGAUACUCAUUCUCUUAGAGAUAGGGAAACUGAGUCACGGUGAGACAGGAUAGGAAUCAAAACUGUGUGGAAAGUUGCAAUCAAUACCUGUCCACCAUGCUAUGCUAGUGGGUCAUUAACGGCUGAGGAUGAGUCGUUGGCAGGGGAGAACUCUCCUCUCUGUAGUGGAAUGGGUCAGUGUGAUGCCUGGAUUGGCCCACCCGAGUGUGGGAGCAGAUGCUCUCCUUGGACUGUACGGCAUCUUGAGUAGACUUUCAAGAAUCGAAGGGUAAACUUGAGACACGGGUUUGAAAGUGAGGACACUACAGCGCUGGCUUCAAAUAAGACAUACAGGAAAACUCAUGAUCCUCGCUCAUUUCAUUUCAGAUGAAAACUGCUUUCCAGUGAAAAUCAGAAGGGGAAAUGAACUGUAAUUUUUCUGAGAAAAAGAACAUGGAAUAAAAGGGCCUACAUUCUCUUUCCUGCAUUCUCAUCAUUCUACAGUUAUUUGGGGUUUUUGUCUCUCCCACUUGAUGUAAAUAUUCAUAAAACCUCA